AUCUUCUGGAUCGAUACGGCAAGUGCAUUGAGACUGUAGCAACACAUUUAAAACCUUAUAAAAGGUUAUUUAGUUGCUAACAGUGCAGCAGUUUCUGCAAAGCCUGCCAAAAGGUUACAGCUUUUUGGGCAUCAUAAAUUACAGACGACAGGGAAAAAAAGAAUCCAUUGCUCUGUAACAGCUGGAGUGACAGUACUGCUGACAGCUGGGGUGAGCUCAAAGGCUGGUCCUAGCAAAGCCUUACGACCCAUUUCGAGGGCUCCACGUUCCAGGCUCUGCCUUUCCCAGCAGUCUCUAUUUGGUAAAUCGUUCUUCUGGGUCCUGCUUUAGCAUGACUUAAUUUUCUAGUCAGGCCGAGCGCCCUGAUGCAGGAACUCUGCACUUCACUUACUCUGCUCUUCUGGAUUUGAGCAAAAAAACUUCCCGGAGACAACACAAGCGAAGGACACCAAAGGAAGAGCUGGAGUUUGCUGUAACCCCCUGGAUGAGCCAAAGGAGAACAAUAGGCUUUUAGAAAUUCUUUGUGGUAGCUAAAUUCAAAACUCUUUAUCAGUGAAUUACAUUCCUUUAUAUGAGCAAAGCCCUGGAGAGGUACAUUUUA